AUUGAACGCUGGCGGCAUGCUUUACACAUGCAAGUCGGACGGCAGCACAGAGAAGCUUGCUUCUUGGGUGGCGAGUGGCGAACGUGUUAGUAACAUAUCUGAACGGACCGAGCGGUGGGGGAUAACUAAUCGAAAGAUUAGCUAAUACCGCAUAUUGUCUGAGGAAGAAAGCAGGGGACCUUUGGGCCUUGCGCUGUUUGAGCGGCCGGUAUCGGAUUAGCGAGUUGGUGGGGUAAAGGCCUACCAAGGCGACGAUCAGUAGCGGGUCUGAGAGGAGGAUCCGCCACACUGGGACUGAGACACGGCCCAGACUCCUACGGGAGGCAGCAGUGGGGAAUUUUGGACAAUGGGCGCAAGCCUGAUCCAGCCAUGCCGCGUGUCUGAAGAAGGCCUUCGGGUUGUAAAGGACUUUUGUCAGGGAAGAAAAGGGCGGGGUUAAUACCCCUGUCUGAUGACGGUACCUGAAGAAUAAGCACCGGCUAACUACGUG
rnacentral:rRNA from 1 species